rnacentral:lncRNA from 1 species
ACGAUCUUAUUCCCCAUUUUCCAGGUGAGGGGAACUGAUGCACAGAGGAAGGGAAGUGACUCACCCAAGGUCACACAGCAGACGAGCGGCAGACUUCCAGGCCCGUGCUCUAUCCACUAGGCCACGCUGCUUCCGUUGCCGAUGGUCCGUUCCUGAAAUCUGCCUUCUCUUUUCCCAACCGCUCGGUUCUAUGCUGCAACCAGUUCUCUAUGGCUUUCACUGUCACCAGGGCCCCAAACUGAAACUCUACCUGUUCCACCAGCAGACACGACGUUUGAUCCUCCCACCGAGGGCGGUAUUACCCGAUUACGUGAGCGGUAGUCCUUCUCGGCAGCUUCCUCAAAAUCGACAAGCUCUUACCCAUCGAGGGCACGGUCACGAUACAGAAGGUAUCAAAGAGUACCCCGUAGCGGUCCAACUCCAUCCGAACCCCUCCGCACCUUGGAAUUCCUCACGAAGCCGCCGAGGGCCUCGCGGGUUACUGCACUCCGGCCUAGAUGCUGGGGUCCCUGGUUGCGACCACCGUCUCGGGGAAUCUCUCGCUUUCGCUCCCUCGACCUCUCCAUCUGUAAAGAGCCUACGGGGGACCAGAUCUUGCUGA